AUACGGAGGAUGCGAGCGUUAUCCGGAUUUAUUGGGUUUAAAGGGAGCGUAGGCGGGAGCUUAAGUCAGCGGUUAAAUGGUGCGGCUCAACCGUGCCCUGCCGUUGAAACUGGGUUUCUUGAGAGUGCAAGAGGCGGAUGGAAUUCAUGGUGUAGCGGUGUAAUGCUUAGAUAUCAUGAAGAACUCCGAUUGCGAAGGCAGUCCGCUGGGGCACGUCUGACGCUGAUGCUCGAAGGUGCGGGAAUCAAACAGGAUUAGAUACCCUGGUAGUCCGCACGGUAAACGAUGAUUACCCGCUGUCGGCGGCAGACAGUCGGCGGCCAAGCGAAAGCGAUAAGUAAUCCACCUGGGGAGUACGCCGGCAACGGUGAAACUCAAAUGAAUUGGCGGGG
rnacentral:rRNA from 1 species